rnacentral:lncRNA from 1 species
CAGGAGGCUUAGCUGCCCCUGGAGGCCCAGUGAUUUGGAAACGGCCACGGCUCCACAUGAAAGCAAAGGCUUCCAGCUAGCUCUGCGUUCCUACAGUCUCCAGGUCGUAUCACACAGAGGCCUUGGGCCUGGGGGACUAUUGAUCAGAAACACAGAGACGGAAGCCUGCAGGUGUACAGCAACCUGAGAGCCCAUUUAAAGGAAGUACGGGUCAGCUGCCACUUAGCCACACCCUAAGUCACCCGGGAAAGAGAUCUCCCGCCUACCUCCCUUGCUCAGGUGGCGGUGCACACCUUUAAUCCCAGCACUCGGAAGGCAGAGACGGGUGGAUCUCUGUGAGUUCGGGACCAGCCUGGUCUACAGAGCGAGUUCCAGGACAGCCUCCAAAGCUACACCGAGAAACCCUGUCUCGAACCCCCCCCAAAAAAAGUUUUUCAAUGUAUUUAAGAUCUUGUUUUAAA